rnacentral:rRNA from 1 species
CCCGCCGGACCUGACUGCUAUCGGAUUGAUACUANNUCAUGCGAGUCAUUGUAGCAAUACAAGGCAUACGGCUCAGUAACGCGCAGUCAACCUAACCUAUGGACGGGAAUAACCUCGGGAAACUGAGAAUAAUGCCCGAUAGAACAUUAUGCCUGGAAUGGUUUAUGUUCCAAAUGAUUUAUCGCCGUAGGAUGGGACUGCGGCCUAUCAGUUUGUUGGUGAGGUAAUGGCCCACCAAGACUAUUACAGGUACGGGCUCUGAGAGGAGUAGCCCGGAGAUGGGUACUGAGACACGGACCCAGGCCCUAUGGGGCGCAGCAGGCGAGAAAACUUUGCAAUGUGCGAAAGCACGACAAGGUUAAUCCGAGUGGUUUCUGCUGAAGGAACCUUUUGUCAGUCUUAGAAACACUGAUGAAUAAGGGGUGGGCAAGUUCUGGUGUCAGCCGCCGCGGUAAAACCAGCACCUCAAGUGGUCAGGAUGAUUGUUGGGCCUAAAGCAUCCGUAGCCGGCUCUGUAAGUUUUCGGUUAAGUCUGUACGCUUAACGUACAGGCUGCCGGGAAUACUGCAGAGCUAGGUAGUGGGAGAGGUAGACGGUACUCGGUAGGAAGGGGUAAAAUCCUUUGAUCUAUUGAUGACCACCUGUGGCGAAGGCGGUCUACCAGAACACGUACGACGGUGAGGGAUGAAAGCUGGGGGAGCAAACCGGAUUAGAUACCCGGGUAGUCCCAGCUGUAAACUAUGCCAAACUC